AGAAUCAACGCUGGCGGCGUGCCUAACACAUGCAAGUCGCACGAGAAAGGGACUUCGGUCCUGAGUAAAGUGGCGCACGGGUGAGUAACACGUGAAUCAUCUACCCUCGAGUGGGGAAUAACCUAGAGAAAUCUGGGCUAAUACCGCAUAAUACUUACGAGUCAAAGCAGCAAUGCGCUUGGGGAGGAGUUCGCGGCCGAUUAGCUAGUUGGCGGGGUAAUGGCCCACCAAGGCGAUGAUCGGUAUCCGGCCUGAGAGGGCGCACGGACACACUGGAACUGAAACACGGUCCAGACUCCUACGGGAGGCAGCAGUGGGGAAUUUUGCGCAAUGGGGGAAACCCUGACGCAGCAACGCCGCGUGGAGGAUGAAGUAUCUUGGUACGUAAACUCCUUUCGAUGGGGAAGAUAAUGACGGUACCCAUAGAAGAAGCCCCGGCUAACUUCGCGCCAGCAGCCGC
rnacentral:rRNA from 1 species